rnacentral:rRNA from 1 species
UACGAAGGGGGCUAGCGUUGUUCGGAAUUACUGGGCGUAAAGCGCGUGUAGGUGGUUGUCAACGUUGGAUGUGAAAGCCUUGAGCUCAACUCAAGAAAUGCAUUCAGGACUGGGCGGCUAGAGGACCGGAGAGGAUAGUGGAAUUCCCAGUGUAGUGGUGAAAUACGUAGAGAUUGGGAAGAACACCAGUGGCGAAGGCGGCUAUCUGGACGGUGUCUGACACUAAGACUCGAAAGCGUGGGGAGCAAACAGG